rnacentral:misc_RNA from 1 species
GAAAUGCGAUACUUGGUGUGAAUUGCAGAAUCCCGUGAACCAUCGAGUCUUUGAACGCAAGUUGCGCCCCAAGCCUUCUGGCCGAGGGCACGUCUGCCUGGGUGUCACAAAUCGUCGUCCCCCCAUCCUCUCGAGGAUAUGGGACGGAAGCUGGUCUCCCGUGUGUUACCGCACGCGGUUGGCCAAAAUCCGAGCUAAGGGCGCCAGGAGCGUCUCGACAUGCGGUGGUGAAUUCAAGCCUCGUAAUAUCGUCGGUCGUUCCGGUCCAGAAGCUCUCGAUGACCCAAAGUCCUCAACGCGACCCCAGGUCAGGCGGGAUCACCCGCUGAGUUUAAGC